UGAAAGUGAUGAUAUUGUAUUUGCUACUCAGAAUGGUUGUGCUGACCAUCUUUUACCACCAAGAUCUCUGACG